rnacentral:rRNA from 1 species
GAUGAACGCUGGCGGCGUGCCUAAUACAUGCAAGUCGAGCGAACAGACGAGGAGCUUGCUCCCCUGACGUUAGCGGCGGACGGGUGAGUAACACGUGGAUAACCUACCUAUAAGACUGGGAUAACUUCGGGAAACCGGAGCUAAUACCGGAUAAUAUAUUGAACCGCAUGGUUCAAUAGUGAAAGACGGCUUUGCUGUCACUUAUAGAUGGAUCCGCGCCGCAUUAGCUAGUUGGUAAGGUAACGGCUUACCAAGGCAACGAUGCGUAGCCGACCUGAGAGGGUGAUCGGCCACACUGGAACUGAGACACGGUCCAGACUCCUACGGGAGGCAGCAGUGGGGAAUCUUCGGCAAUGGGCGAAAGCCUGACGGAGCAACGCCGCGUGAGUGAUGAAGGUCUUCGGAUCGUAAAACUCUGUUAUUAGGGAAGAACAAAUGUGUAAGUAACUAUGCACGUCUUGACGGUACCUAAUCAGAAAGCCACGGCUAACUACGUG